rnacentral:lncRNA from 1 species
CUUUGAUGCCUUGGUGUAGGUAUUAGAAACUGCUAUAUUUUUGUCAGUGUUAACCACAUUAAUAUAGUUACUGGAUCUAUACUAAUCUAGCUACUAGAUCUUAUUAUUUUAGUAAGGUGAAUUCUCAUGUUCUUAGUUGAUGAUUUAUUUUCCAUAUUUGAAUUCUCCUUAACCGUAUGCAGGUAUAUUUUGGAAUGAAGGCAUUUUGGCUUCCUUAUGAGCAGUCUUGAAAAUACUUAUACUACUAUGGCUAAUGUUUAGUCAAUUCAAUUAAUGAAAUAUGUAUUGUGAUUUCACUACAUGCCUGGCAAGCACCUAAGAGUGAGAAAGCAAGAAUACCACAUGGCUCUGUUCUAA